rnacentral:tRNA from 1 species
UAGCCUAAUGGUUAGGGCACUCACCUGGGAUGUGAGUAACCUGGAUUCAGUCCAG